UACGGAGGGAGCUAGCGUUGUUCGGAAUUACUGGGCGUAAAGCGUACGUAGGCGGCUUGGCAAGUAGGGGGUGAAAUCCCGGAGCUUAACUCCGGAACUGCCCUCUAAACUGCUGAGCUAGAAUCCUGGAGAGGUGAGCGGAAUUCCUAGUGUAGAGGUGAAAUUCGUAGAUAUUAGGAAGAACACCAGUGGCGAAGGCGGCUCACUGGACAGGUAUUGACGCUGAGGUACGAAAGCGUGGGGAGCAAACAGG
rnacentral:rRNA from 1 species